rnacentral:rRNA from 1 species
AUUGAACGCUGGCGGCAUGCUUUACACAUGCAAGUCGAACGGUAACAGGGUGCUUGCACCGCUGACGAGUGGCGAACGGGUGAGUAAUGCGUCGGAACGUGCCGAGUAGUGGGGGAUAACGCAGCGAAAGUUGUGCUAAUACCGCAUACGUACUGAGGUAGAAAGUGGGGGACCUUCGGGCCUCACGCUAUUCGAGCGGCCGACGUCUGAUUAGCUAGUAGGUGAGGUAAAGGCUCACAUAGGCGACGAUAAGUAGCGGGUCUGAGGGGAUGGUCCGCCAAACUGGGACUGAGAACCGGCCCAGACUCCUACGGGAGGAAGCAGUGGGGAAUUUGGGACAAUGGGCGAAAGCCUGAUCCAGCCAUGCCUCGUGUCUGAAGAAGGCCUUCGGUUUGUAAAGGACUUUUGUCAGGGAGGAAAUCCCUAGUGCUAAUAACACUGGGGGAUGACAGUACCUGAAGAAUAAGCACCGGCUAACUACGUGCCAGCAGCCGCCGUAA